CAGGCUUCAGACUCUGAGCAGGAGACUUGCAUCUUUUUCUCGCUGUGUGAAUUGCUGCAAAGAGUGCCUGGGCAAACAAUGGCAUCUGGAUGUGGCCACAUGAGCUGCUUGUAGAAUAAGGUUUGCAUCCAGGUGUUUAUGGACAUCUGCCUCCACAGCUGAUACAUCAACCCAGGAACUCCCAAAACCACAUGCUAUGUACUUAACAGGAUGAGGAAGAAGUGAAAGCUGAAGUACAAGUGAAAAUGAAACAGUCUGUGCAUAAGGAUGUGGCCAGAGCUGAGGGAUGCAAGACAGAGUUGAUUGUUUCCUCACUUCAUGGGUGAGCAGGACUGACAGUUUUGUGUUUAAUGUUUGCCAUCUAAAUUUCACCAUUAGGUAUCUGAAAAUCAGGAGUAGAAAAGAAAGAAAAUGAGAACCACACUGAUAAUGCAGAAUAAUUUUAAUGGGAAGGGAUAGAACAAAACUGCUAGGAAAAAUAACAGUGUAAAAGGCACAAUUCUAGACACAGAUUCUGUCACUCAUAUGCUUGCAUUAACCUCUAUAUUCAAGUAAUAACUUUCAUCAAAUACUGUUUCCUUGACAUUAGAUGCAGAGGAUCAAUUUCUUUUUCCCCACACUUUUCUUGCAGAAACUAAAAGUCAGAUACAAAUGAUGUGUAUAUUUAUCCAAAGGAAAAGUGAACUUCCUGGUGACUGAUUAUCUCUAAUUACCUGCCUGAGAAUGUACCUGAGAGGGAGAACACCCUAGGAACUUAAGG